UACGUAGGGUGCAAGCGUUGUCCGGAAUUAUUGGGCGUAAAGAGCUCGUAGGCGGUCUGUCGCGUCGGCUGUGAAAAACCCGGGGCUCAACCCCGGGCCUGCAGUCGAUACGGGCAGACUAGAGUGCGGUAGGGGAGACUGGAAUUCCUGGUGUAGCGGUGAAAUGCGCAGAUAUCAGGAGGAACACCGGUGGCGAAGGCGGGGUCUCUGGGCCGUAACUGACGCUGAGGAGCGAAAGCGUGGGGGAGCGAACAGG
rnacentral:rRNA from 1 species